UCAGUCGACUCCUACGGGGAGCAGCAGUGAGGAUAUUGGGUCAAUGGGCGCAAGCCUGAACCAGCCAUGCCGCGUGCAGGAAGACUGCCUAUGGGUUGUAAACUGCUUUAUACAGGAAGAAACACUCGGACGUGUCCGAGCUUGACGGUACUGUAAGAAUAAGGAUCGGCUAACUCCGUGCCAGCAGCCGCGGUAAUACGGAGGAUCCAAGCGUUAUCCGGAAUCAUUGGGUUUAAAGGGUCCGUAGGUGGAUUAGUAAGUCAGAGGUGAAAGCCUGCAGCUCAACUGUAGAACUGCCUUUGAUACUGCUAGUCUUGAGUCAUUAUGAAGUGGUUAGAAUGUGUAGUGUAGCGGUGAAAUGCAUAGAUAUUACACAGAAUACCGAUUGCGAAGGCAGAUCACUAAUAAUGUACUGACACUGAUGGACGAAAGCGUGGGGAGCGAACAGGAUUAGAUACCCUGGUAG
rnacentral:rRNA from 1 species